GCCGGGCGCACGGGGGAUCAGCUGGCUGGCGGGCGCCGAUCGCGGCCCCGGCUCUGGCUGCAGCGCCACCUCCUCUCCGCGUCGCAGGCCGGCUCAGCGGCUGUGACAAUGUUGCGGGGCUGGUAACUGGGCGCCGGCCGCUGAGCAUUCUCAAGUUUAAACUUACACGAAUCGCUCUCUGGAGGAGGAGGAGACCCGCCGCGCGAUUGACACGCGUAUUCCUAUAGGCAUCCUCCUCCCUCAGCUCCCACCCCCAAGGCCGGAUUCGGGUUGGCUUCUCUGCGAGCUGAAAUCCGAGAAGAAAUCUUUAGAUCUAUUUUCUUAAAAAAGGAAAAAAAAAAAUCUAGAAAUCAUUGGCAUUUUGCUUUGCUGCUUCUUAUUUGCAAGAUGAAGAAGUUUUUCGACUCCCGGAGAGAGCAGGGCGGCUCUGGCCUGGGCUCCGGCUCCAGCGGAGGAGGGGGCAGCACCUCCGGUCUGGGCAGUGGCUACAUUGGAAGGGUCUUUGGCAUCGGGCGACAGCAGGUCACUGUGGACGAGGUGUUGGCAGAAGGUGGAUUUGCUAUCGUGUUUCUGGUGAGGACAAGCAAUGGGAUGAAAUGUGCCUUGAAACGCAUGUUUGUCAACAAUGAGCAUGAUCUCCAGGUGUGCAAGAGGGAAAUCCAGAUCAUGAGGGACCUGUCAGGGCACAAGAACAUUGUGGGUUACAUUGAUUCUAGUAUCAACAGUGUGAGCAGCGGUGAUGUAUGGGAAGUUCUCAUUCUGAUGGAUUUCUGUAGAGGAGGCCAAGUGGUAAACCUGAUGAACCAGCGCUUGCAAACAGGCUUUACAGAGAAUGAAGUGCUGCAGAUCUUCUGUGACACCUGUGAAGCUGUCGCCCGCCUGCAUCAGUGCAAAACUCCUAUUAUCCACCGUGACCUGAAGGUUGAAAAUAUCCUCUUGCAUGACCGAGGCCACUAUGUCCUGUGUGACUUUGGAAGUGCCACCAACAAAUUCCAGAAUCCACAAAUUGAGGGAGUCAAUGCAGUAGAAGAUGAGAUUAAGAAAUACACAACGCUAUCCUAUAGAGCACCAGAAAUGGUCAACUUGUACAGUGGCAAAAUCAUCACUACGAAGGCAGACAUUUGGGCUCUUGGAUGUUUGUUGUAUAAAUUAUGUUACUUCACUUUGCCAUUCGGAGAGAGUCAGGUGGCAAUUUGUGAUGGCAACUUCACAAUUCCUGAUAACUCUCGAUAUUCUCAAGACAUGCACUGCCUUAUUAGGUAUAUGUUGGAACCAGAUCCUGACAAAAGGCCGGAUAUUUACCAGGUCUCCUACUUCUCAUUUAAACUACUCAAGAAAGAAUGCCCAAUUCCAAAUGUACAGAACUCUCCCAUUCCUGCAAAACUUCCUGAACCAGUGAAAGCCAGUGAGGCAGCUGCAAAAAAGACCCAGCCAAAGGCCAGACUGACAGAUCCCAUUCCCACCACAGAGACUUCAAUUGCACCCCGCCAGAGGCCUAAAGCUGGACAGACUCAGCCAAACCCAGGAAUCCUUCCCAUUCAGCCAGCCCUGACGCCUCGAAAGAGGGCCACAAUUCAGCCUCUACCUCAGGCUGCAGGACCCAGCAAUCAGCCUGGCCUUUUGGCCAGUGUUCCCCAACCAAAAGCCCAACCCCCACCCAGCCAGCCUCUGGCACAGUCUCAGCCCAAGCAGCCACAGGCUUCACCCAUCCCUCAGCCCACACCUUCCACCCAGGCCCAGGCCACACCCCAGCACCAGCAGCAGCUCUUCCUCAAGCAACAGCAGCAGCCACAGCAACUGCAGGCACAGCAGCAGCCGCAGCAGCCGCAGCCACAGCAGCCAGCAGGCACAUUUUACCAGCAGCCACAGCAGCAACAGACCCAGACUCAGCAGUUCCAGGCAGUACAUCCAGCAAGCCAGCAAGCAGCAAUUGCUCAGUUCCCUGUGGUGUCCCAGGGAGGCUCUCAGCAGCAGCUGAUACAGAACUUCUACCAGCAGCAGCAGCAACAGCAGCAACAGCAGCAGCAGCAGCUGGCCACAGCUCUGCACCAACAACAGCUGAUGACUCAGCAGGCUGCCCUGCAGCCCAAGACCGCAGUGGUGGUCCCGCAGCCCCAGGCACAGCCAGCUGCAGCCCCACAGCCAGCCCCUGCCCAGGAGCCUGCGCAGAUUCAAGCUCCAGUAAGACAACAGCCAAAGGUUCAGACAACUCCACCUUCUACCAUCCAGGGGCAGAAAGUUGGAUCUCUCACUCCUCCAUCAUCCCCCAAAACUCAGCGUGCUGGGCACAGGAGAAUUCUCAGUGAUGUAACGCACAGUGCAGUCUUUGGGGUCCCUGCCAGCAAAUCGACCCAGCUGCUCCAGGCAGCUGCAGCUGAGGCCAGUCUAAAUAAGUCCAAGGGUGGGAACCUACCUAGGUCUGCAACCACCACUCCAUCAGGCUCUCCUCGGACCUCCCAGCAAAAUGUCUGUAAUCCUUCAGAAAAUUCUACAUGGAAUCCCUUCGAUGAUGACAACUUCUCCAAGCUCACAGCUGAAGAACUGCUGAACAAGGACUUUGCCAAGUUGGGGGAAGGCAAGCAUCCUGACAAGCUUGGUGGCUCAGCAGAGAGUUUGAUCCCAGGCUUCCAGGCGACCCAGGGUGAUGCUUUUGCCACUUCCUCGUUUUCUGCCGGAACUGCUGAAAAAAGGAAGGGUGGGCAGACUGUGGAUUCUGGCGUCCCACUUCUAAGUGUGUCUGAUCCUUUCAUUCCUCUUCAGGUACCUGAUGCACCAGAAAAACUGAUUGAGGGACUCAAAUCUCCUGACACUUCUCUUCUGCUCCCUGACCUCUUGCCUAUGACAGAUCCUUUUGGUAGCACUUCUGAUGCUGUGAUUGAAAAAGCUGAUGUUGCUGUUGAGAGUCUCAUACCAGGACUGGAGCCCCCAGUUGCCCAGCGCCUCCCAUCUCAGACGGAGUCUGUGACCUCAAACCGCACAGAUUCUCUCACUGGGGAAGAUUCCCUGCUUGACUGCUCUCUGCUUUCUAACCCUACUGCUGACCUUCUGGAAGAGUUUGCCCCCCUAGCAAUCUCUGCUCCGGCCCAUAAAGCCAUGUACCUUCACAGUCAGCCAAGUAGAUGGUUGAGCCCACUGUCCACUAAUCUGCAGAAGAUAGUAAUCUCAUCUCAGGUUUUGAUGUCCCUGAGGGCUCGGAAAAGGUGACGGAAGAUGAGUUUGACCCUAUUCCUGUAUUGAUAACCAAAAAUCCACAAGGUGGGCACUCUAGAAACAGCAGUGGGAGCUCUGAGUCCAGUCUUCCCAACCUAGCCAGGUCUUUGCUGCUGGUGGAUCAGCUCAUAGACCUGUAGCGGUGACCCAGUAGCAGAUGAAGUUCUGUAACCUUCAUACUGUAAUACACGUUUUCACUAUGGAAUUAUGAGAAAAAUGAUCUUUUUAAAAAAUCUGCAAGUAAGGGGCCCUCUAGCUCCUUUCUCCUAUCCCUUGCCUUCUCCUAUAGAAAUGAUAAGGAAAGAAAAAAAAUCACUUUGGCCCUCCAGAUAUAUUCCUUGGCCAGUUCCUUCCUGUUAGUUUGCUGUGUUUUCUCAUUACCCUUCUUCAAUAGCAUUAUCUUAAAUCAAGCAGUAGAUGCCAUGAGCUUCACCUCUGCUGGAAUCAACUCCACCAAAAGCUUAACUGUAAUUGAACCUAGUGAACUGACACCUUUGUCUUAUUCUUGCUAGGAAUGGCCUCCCAAAUCAGUCCUCCCAGCCCCUGUCUCCUUGGCAAGAUGCUGAUGAAUGUGUUUCCCUGUUUUUGCUUUUUAUCCUGAUGCAUUGUUAUGCGGCCAAGCCUACUUGCAGCUUGUUUUAGCACUAGGCAGUAGCCUGGAGAUGGAGGUGGGGUUUCAGAGAGAGUAAAACUGACUGAUAAUAUAUAUUUGAGAAGAGAAAUUGAGCCCAGCUCUGCCCAACCAACUUUGACCUUGUUUGAUCAUAGACUUAGCCAAGGGAUUUACACCCCAUGCAACCUGCCCAGAAUUCGUCCAGCUUUCUGGCUUCUGUUGAAUCGUGAUUUCUCAGAUCUGGAGAUGUGACUGCAAGUACUUGAGAUCCUUGGAUAAAAUGUGUACGUUAUAUAAAUCCCAAGUAUUGCCAUUCCUUUUCAUGUUACCUGGCCCAAGCCAGGAUUUCAGAAUUAGACCAAAAUAAGACAGUGGUGGUAAUAUGGUAUCUUUUAAUAGAAGACUUUUCACUGGGGGGUGGCUGGGUGAGGGGAAGGAAUUGUAGCAGAAACAGAUGUAUUUUUCUUGUGAUUUUUAUUUUGAAUCAAAUAUUGUAAAUUGUGUAUAAAUGAAGACACUGAAUAGUUCUGUUUCCACUUGACGUUUCAAGUCUGAUACCAGGUGUCUGUACAGGGUUUUGAUCUCUUUUCCCUGUAUAAUCACACAGCUAUCCUACAGUGUAACAUAUGGAAUUAUUUUGAGUAGAUUGUGUGUCUUGAUAUAAGCUCUCAGCAGGUCCUCUGUCUCUGUAAAGUAAGCAUGUUGUUUAUUUUCAGAUAAUCAGAAAAAGUGUGCUGACAAGCUGGACACAGAUUGACUGUAGCUGCUUACUUUUUUUGGUCUCUGAUGUUUAAGUUGAAGGCUGCAGUCAAUGGAAUGUGUUCAGUUGGUUCUCCUUGGCUUCCUAGAUUUUAAAAAACCAAACAAAGCAUAGUUCUUCACUAACCUUAGACUAUUGUUCAUAAACUAAAUAAAGGUCCCUGCACUAAUAUGACAACAUGCCUCAUGGUCACCCUCUGUGUAUGUGCCUACUCAUCAAAGUGUAUUUUAUUUCUUUACUUGGAAAGCACUUUUAUAAAAUUAUCCUUUUGAGAAAGAAGUAGGCACAGAGAACCCCAUUGUUCUCUUCCUCAAGUGCCAUUGUCUGUGGUCAAAAAGGAGAGUCUUAGUGGAUUGGGUUUGUACAAAUAAAAUUCCAAGUCCAUUUGCUCAUUCUCUAUCUAGUACUUUUGGUUUUUCUUCCUCACAUUUGCACUUUAAGGGGGGAGGGGUUGCAACAAGAGCCUGCAAACACUGCACUGUGAGAACAGCCUGUGAAAAGGCACUGGAGGAAGAGUCUGAAUCUUUCAUUCUUCCUUCUGCCUUUCAAUACUCCUGUGCCAGCUAAAACUCGAUGAGCUAAGUAAAGGCCUCUGCUAAGAGAACAGAUCAUUUCCAGAAUUGAGAGAGGCACAAACUUGGUGCUGAGGAGAGAAAAGAUGUCCGUGAAAAGCUCUGUGUGAUUGGGUAGCAGUGGAAAUAGGAUUUGGUUCACUCCUUAUGGACAGGAAAAUUGCUGCAGGUCAGAACUGUAUUCCCUUUCUGGACAUAAAAAGAAUGUAUGAACUAAUGAAGGGAAUGUUUAUUUUUAAAUAAGGAUGUUUUAGUUCGAUGUUUUCGAAUUUGAUUUUUCUUCAUACAUGUAAUGUUAGAAAUAUAAUGAAAUAUCUAGUUUCUUAAUUUAAUUGAAACCAUGAAGAGUACAGUUUAGAAAUUAGGUGUCUCUAAAUUGUUCCUGUCAUGUAUUACUCAUAAUUACAUUGAGAUGUAUUAUCUAGUCAUUUAGCUCAAUAAAGCUUAAUGGAGAAAAUUAAUAAAAAUGAACAGAUUAAGAGCCAGAGACGAUGGUGGAAGCCUGAGGAAGGUAAUGAGAAAAUGUCUCAGGCUUAUUCUUUAGGAGUACAGCCUCUAGAUUAGAACUAUUUUUCUGUUGAGGAAUACACGUGGGUGAUUUGGUAAACAGGGCCUUCCUUAGCUUGUAACAUCAUCCCUGAGCUAAAAGAAUUUAUUUGAGAUGAGCAUAGUGUGUUAGUAAUUGGUAGACCUAUCGACUGAGCUACAUGAGGGACCUUAGCAACCAUCUGGUAGUCCAUUCACUUCAUUUUACAGGUAUGGCACCUGAGCUAGAUUAAGGCAGGAUGAUGAGAGAAGCCUGGGCAGGUCAGGCCAGCUGGUAUCUAAUCCUGACCCUUGCCAGGCUCUGGCUAAGUGACCUUCAGCGGGCACUUCACCUCUCAGAGUGGCUGUUACUUAUAGGACAAUAGGUUUAGGCUAGAUGGCCUUUAAAAUUAUAGAAGCAUAGUCCUAAAUUUAUGCCAUUAUGUUUAGAAGAACAAUGAAGGAUUUAUAUAAUCCUGAUGUUCUUCAGUUAUCUUCUAUACACCUGCUACUACUGUGGCAGCAUUUAUGUGUUAGUGAAUUGUAAUAGGCUUCUUACUAACCUCUUGCUCUUCUUAGCUAUCUGAAUAGAAGCCUAAAUCAUCACAGAGUUAUAGAUAUAGGUUUUCCUUUUUUAAUAUUAUACACACGUGCACAGACACACGUACCUACCUAUUCCAAUAAAACAGUAUCAGAAGAUUUCUUUUCUUUUAAAAUGUAUGAUCAAAAGUAUGUAUGAUCCGGGAUCUGGCAUUAAAAUAUGGGCAAAUACCAUAUGCAUGUAUUUUUUGUUUGCUUUUAUCCCAACUGGGUGAGAGUAGUAACUAUGGUAGAAAACAAUAUUUCUCCCUCACAGCAUUUGAAUGAUGAGAUCACCAAAUUCAAUUCCCAAUGUUUUGUAAGAAAACAGCCCUCAAAGAAGGUAAAGUUUAAAUGUUCACUUCAUUAUAAUUAUUUCUUUAGUGGAUAUAUUAAAAUUUUGACAUCAAAUUGAAUGUUAUUCUGUUCAAAAGCACCUGAUUUUACUUUGAAAAUUAAUACUUAUCCUAAUAAUACUGCUGUCAUUGAAGUUAUUUUUGAAACUCCUCUCUUUAGAAAUAACAUCAAGGAAGGUAGUAAGGUGUAAGGAAAUCAGUUGCAUUAUCUAAUUAGUAUCACUUUCAGUAUCUGAAAGUAUAUUCUCUUUCUUGAUCCACUAAUCUCACCACUCCUGUUUCUGAGUAACAUUUAACUAUUUCCAAAAAGCAAAAUCAUCCCAGUAAGAUGGAGAGUGGUUACUAUUCUUUUUGUUUGUUUGUUUGUUUGUUUUUGUUUUUGUUCUUUUGAGGCAGGGUCUCCCUUUGUAGUUCAGCCUGGCCCUGAACUCACUAUAUAGGCCAGACUGGCCUUGAACUCACAGUGAUCCUCCUGCCUCAGCCUCCGGAGUGCUGGGAUUACAGGCAUGCGCCACCACACCCGGCUGAGAGUGGUUACUAUUGACAGUGGUAAAGAGAGAAGAACCCACAGAAAAUUCUCAGAGAAGACCUUAUAAUAAAAAGUGAACAUAAUUGGUCUUAAUUUCUUUAAUACUCUGAAUAAGGGAACUUCAGUGAUUACCCAGUCUUUAGUGUGCAUUAGAAAACUGAAAGAUAGGAUUGUUUUUCAGUACCUCUGAAACAGGGUAUCACUUCAUUCAAUGUCGUUUGAUGUUGAACUUGGCUUUUCCUGAUUAGUAUUGUAGAAUUUAGAUUGCUAAAAGUUGGAGGAAAACAAACUUGAGAAAGGAACCUGUUUUUCUCAAAGCACAGUAUUUUUGUUUUGUUUUUAAUACUCUUUUCCUUCUCAUUUGAUAGAUAGUUGGUCAUUUUGAUUCAGGCCAGUAUGACCUUCCCCAAGGUCAGGAAUAUAGUUAGUUCUGUCUUCAGCAGUGCUGUGGGAACAAGGGGGCCACUGGGCCAAGUACCUAAAGGCAUCUACAUUCAGCUGAACAAAUGAAUCCUAUGGAUACCUUGAGCUAAAGUAGAGUCUCCCAUAAGUAGAUUGCUUUUUCUUUUUUGUUCUUUCUUUUUCUUUUUCUUUAAAUCUCUGUGAGUCCUUAACCUCAGCCUGUGAGAUUAUCAGGGUCCUGUGGCCACUAACUUUGAGUUUGGGGAUUAAAAAUUACAGCAUUCCCCAAUAUAUUGAAUUAGGCAAAUAGAUGCUGCCCAAUAGAAUAGAAAAACUAAACACUCCAGAUAUUGCAAAUCUAUCUUCUAUUCCUUUCCAGAAAGUAAUUUUACCAAUAAAAAUUAGCCUUUUUCUUCCAUACUGGUAAUGUUCCUAAAGUUGGAUGGAUUGGGUUUCUUGAAGUGGAAUGAAUCUGGCAUGGCCUCCUCUUUAAAUAAUCUGUAACAAGAUCCUAUUUUGUUUCUCUAGGGAUUCCUUUCACUAAGGUGGGAAAGGGAGGCUCCAUGGGUAAUGUUAACCUAUGCAAAGUUACCAAGUGGUGGUAGUUGCUAGAAUGGAAGACAUUUUUUGGUUCUCAUUCUGAUGCAGUGCCCUGAAUUUACUCUUUUCCUGUGAGUAUUCUACUUGACCCUAUUCAUACCCCAUUGUCAUGUGGAUGUAUGUUUACCAUAGGUCUUUAACCUGUUCUCAAGAAGACAAAGCAAACAGAUGUACAUGAAGCUAUCUUAUGCAGUAAAAAUGUGAAAUUCGAGCAUUGCUUUGCAAGUAUUGUAUAAAUAACAAGUCUGUAAACAAAUUUCUUAUGUAAACAUACAGGGAAAUAAAGACUUUUAUCUGUCCAAAUGAGAGCAUGAUGUUUAGAGAUGUAAAUAACUCAAAAUAGCUGCUGUUGUCCUAAACUGAAAACUCACUUUUGCAAAAAGGAUUUAAUCCCACUGUUGAAUGACAGUAAAUUCCAGAAGUUUAUGUGAGAGACACGGCAAGGACAUUCGAAUGAGUUAUAGCCACACUGGAGAAUAAAACUCAUGGUCAAGUAGAACAAAACACCUGUGAGCCUAUAUUUGCUUUGAUGAGACCUGGGGUUAUAAAUUGGAGCCCAGAUUUGCAGCUGCUAUUCUCUAAUUUGAUUUUUAAUAUACCCAGGCCUAUUUAAUUGAGCAUUUUAGGUUGACAAGAACAACUUUAUGCCCAACGAGAAAUUGCUCUCAUUUAAUUGCCUUAUACGCUUGAGAAGCACGGCAUCCAUAGCCACUGAUGGUUCAGAUCCAGUUGUGAGUGUUACUGUAGCUACCCAACAUAUCUACCCAUUUGGUAGAGCCAAAUGUUUACAUAUAUGUUUGAAGUCAGUAGGCCAUGGAAAUCAUUAGUUUAUUGUACAUCCCUUAAUUCUUUGAUUUGGUUCCAAGACUGUGAAUUUCAAUUGAUGCUGUAUUUCUGAAGUUCCUAUGAGGGGAUAUUUUGCUUCCUAUUCACUAUCUACUUGAGAAAGUUUCUCAACAUUCCAUAUCUUUUUAAGUUUUUGGCAAGAAUUUUGUCUUUGCUAUUCCCUUUAACUGUUACUUCAGUUUAUGGUAUGGAGAAAAAAACCCUCUGAUAUAUUAGAUUAAGGAACUUUCAGCCUGAAAUGUAAGUCUCGAUUUUGAUUCUGUGAAGCAAUCUGAUGACCCUUACUAUUUCAAUCAGAUAAAACUUCCAGAGUCAACCCAUCCCAAAUCAUCAUCCAGCACUUAAUUUUGGUUGCUUUGGAAGUCAAUAGGGACUAGUGAAGUUAGUUGCCAAGUCAUCUGACACUUUUGGGGACUGCUUUGCUACUCCCUGAAGCACAUGAGUUCUUAUUGAAACCUAUUUGGAACCUCAAAAUAAACAAAAAUGGAGUUGCCACUAGAGGAAGUAUCAAAAAGUGUGCUUUGGCCAGGGAUUUAGCUCAAUGGCACCUCGCCUGCCUUACGAGUGCAAGGUCCUGAGUUUGAUCCCUAGUACUCCCCCUCAAAAAAGUGUGCUUUAACCUGGUACAUAGUCCUACAUUAAAGCAAGAAAAAAAAAGAGUGUAUUUUGAUUCCUUGCUUAAUUUCAUGUGUUAAGCCAAAAUAAAAAGAGACAUGCAUGACCUAGUUUGAGAGAAUUAUAACAAAAUGCCUAACUUAGGCUUUGUGCUAAAUAAGAUCCUUGUACAGACUGUGAGGGCAGCCUCUGAGCCUAAGCCCCUGAGGAUCAGGCUUCCUUUGAGUUCUCUGGUCACAGAUUAUCUGCUGUGCAUGUCAUUGGUCACCAUAUGAACUGAUCCAAGGCUUGAGGUUAAAGUAGUAUAAAGCUUUCAUUGCUUUUAGGCAGUCUGCAUUAAAUAGGUUUUCCUGUUAGUACAAGGCUGUCUUCAUAUGCAGUGACUGUUCACCCUGAAAAACACAUUUUCCCCAUAACAGAUCUGCAUAUUC